UACGAAGGGGGCUAGCGUUGUUCGGAAUUACUGGGCGUAAAGCGCGCGCAGGCGGCUAUCCAAGUCAGUGGUGAAAGCCCGUAGCUCAACUCCGGAACUGCCAUUGAAACUGUUUAGCUUGAGGACGAGAGAGGUGAGUGGAAUUCCCAGUGUAGAGGUGAAAUUCGUAGAUAUUGGGAAGAACACCGGUGGCGAAGGCGGCUCACUGGCUCGUAUCUGACGCUCAGGCGCGACAGCGUGGGGAUCAAACAGG
rnacentral:rRNA from 1 species